GGUGAACGCUGGCGGUAGGCCUAACACAUGCAAGUCGAACGGCAGCACAGGAGAGCUUGCUCUCUGGGUGGCGAGUGGCGGACGGGUGAGGAAUACAUCGGAAUCUACCUUUUCGUGGGGGAUAACGUAGGGAAACUUACGCUAAUACCGCAUACGACCUACGGGUGAAAGUGGGGGACCGCAAGGCCUCACGCGAAUAGAUGAGCCGAUGUCCGAUUAGCUAGUUGGCGGGGUAAUGGCCCACCAAAGCGACGAUCGGUAGCUGGUCUGAGAGGGUGAUCAGCCACACUGGAACUGAGACACGGUCCAGACUCCUACAGGAGGCAGCAGUGGGGAAUAUUGGACAAUGGGCGCAAGCCUGAUCCAGCCAUACCGCGUGGGUGAAGAAGGCCUUCGGGUUGUAAAGCCCUUUUGUUGGGAAAGAAAUCCUGUCGAUUAAUACUCGGUGGGGAUGACGGUACCCAAAGAAUAAGCACCGGCUAACUUCGUGCCAGCCGCCGCCGUAAAAC
rnacentral:rRNA from 1 species